rnacentral:rRNA from 1 species
GUAGGUGGCAAGCGUUGUCCGGAAUUAUUGGGCGUAAAGCGCGCGCAGGCGGUCCUUUAAGUCUGAUGUGAAAGCCCACGGGCUCAACCGUGAGGGUCAUUGGAAACUGGGGGACUUGAGUACAGAAGAGGAAAGCGGAAUUCCAAGUGUAGCGGUGAAAUGCGUAGAGAUUUGGAGGAACACCAGUGGCGAAGGCGGCUUUCUGGUCUGUAACUGACGCUGAGGCGCGAAAGCGUGGGGAGCAAACAGGAUUAGAUACCCUGGUAGUCCACGCCGUAAACGAUGAGUGCUAAGUGUUAGGGGGGUUUCCGCCCCUUAGUGCUGCAGCUAACGCAUUAAGCACUCCGCCUGGGGAGUACGGCCGCAAAGGCUGA